UACGGAGGGGGCUAGCGUUGUUCGGAAUUACUGGGCGUAAAGCGCGCGUAGGCGGACCUGCAAGUCGGGGGUGAAAGCCCGAGGCUCAACCUCGGAACUGCCUUCGAUACUGCGGGUCUCGAGUCCGGGAGAGGUGAGUGGAAUUCCUAGUGUAGAGGUGAAAUUCGUAGAUAUCAGGAAGAACACCAACGGCGAAGGCAGCUCGCUGGGACGGAACUGACGCUAAGGCGCGAAAGCGUGGGGAGCGAACAGG
rnacentral:rRNA from 1 species